GUGGGGAAUAUUGGACAAUGGGCGAAAGCCUGAUCCAGCCAUGCCGCGUGUGUGAAGAAGGUCUUCGGAUUGUAAAGCACUUUAAGUUGGGAGGAAGGGCAGUAAGUUAAUACCUUGCUGUUUUGACGUUACCGACAGAAUAAGCACCGGCUAACUCUGUGCCAGCAGCCGCGGUAAUACAGAGGGUGCAAGCGUUAAUCGGAAUUACUGGGCGUAAAGCGCGCGUAGGUGGUUUUGUAAGUUGGAGGUGAAAUCCCCGGGCUCAACCUGGGAACUGCCUCCAAAACUGCAUGACUAGAGUACGGUAGAGGGUAGUGGAAUUUCCUGUGUAGCGGUGAAAUGCGUAGAUAUAGGAAGGAACACCAGUGGCGAAGGCGACUACCUGGACUGAUACUGACACUGAGGUGCGAAAGCGUGGGGAGCAAACAGGAUUAGAAACCCGUGUAGUCC
rnacentral:rRNA from 1 species